rnacentral:tRNA from 1 species
AGGGAUAUAACUCAGUGGUAGAGUGUCAUCUUGACGUGGUGAAAGUCGUCAGUUCAAAACUGAUUAUCCCUA